UGAGUAUGCAGCCAAGGGUCUCAGCUUUGCAAAGCUGAUG
rnacentral:tRNA from 1 species